rnacentral:rRNA from 1 species
GACGAACGCUGGCGGCGUGCCUAAUACAUGCAAGUAGGACGCAGUUGCGAACGGGUGAGUAACGCGUAGGUAACUGCCUAUUAGAGGGGGAUAACUAUUGGAAACGAUAGCUAAUACCGCAUACUAGUAGAUGGACCUGCGUUGUAUUAGCUAGUAGGUAGGGUAAUGGCCUACCUAGGCGACGAUACAUAGCCGACCUGGGAGGGGGAUCGGGUACACGGGGACGGAGACACGGCCCAGACUCCUACGGGAGGCAGCAGUAGGGAAUCUUCGGAAAUGGACGAAAGGCUGACCGGGCAUCGCCGCGUGAGUGAGGAAGGUUUUCGGAUCGUAAAACUCUGUUUUUAGAGAAGCGGUACUUAACCAGAAAGGGACGGCUAACUACGUGCCAGCAGCCGCGGUAAUAC